UCCAGGUGGGAUUCUCCACUUUAAUGAAGCCUUUGGCUGAUGGAGGGAGAAGGAUGGAGUCACAUUUCUCUGUGGUUUCCAGGAGAAAAGGAGGGAACAACCCCAAACUCCUCUCCACAACUCAGAGAGCUCAGACCUCAGAUGAAAACCCCACAGCUCACCCAACCAAAGCAGGAGCUGCCCUGCUCCAUCUGCUCCUCAGAUGGUUCUGCCUCAUCCCAAGGACAGCCCCACUGGCUGUGUCAAAACCAGAUUUUUAUGGCACCAUGGAUGGGGAUUCACACAAACCAGGGCUCUGUUACCUCCAGGUAAAAUGAGGGGAAUAAUGAGAGAAAAAGUGACAGUAAAAUGCAGCAUGUGAAGAAGAUAUUUGCAUUCCCUCUCUCUUUCGGGUGGCUCAAGUGGACGUGGAUCACGGAUCUGU